UAGGUGAACCUGCAGAUGGAUCAUUAUCGAGCUAACCAAAAAAACUCUAGUCUAACAAACUAGUAGUAGUGGCAGGAUCUAUGUGCGGUACAUUUGCUUGAUGUACGUCUGCACGCCACAGUGUCCCAACGGCGAAUGUUGGUGUCUAUUCGGUGCUGAGCAGCUGUUGCCUAAGUCCGUGGCUGUGUUGAAGCAUCGAGAUAGCGUAUACGUCCCUUCACAGGGGUAGCGGAUGCGUAGACUCAAUGAGCACCAUGCCUGGGUGCUGCCAACAAAACUUUUUUUCAACGAAUUUUUCUUAACGAAAGACAAAUAUCAGUCUUACCGGUGGAUCACUCGGUUCGUGGAUCGAUGAAGAACGCAGCAAACUGCGAUAAGUAGCGUGAAUUGCAGACGCUUUGAACGUUAAACUUUCGAACGCACAUUGCGCCGUAGGAGUCCUACCCUACGGCACAUCUGGUUGAGGGUCGUGAUCGUAAACAGCAAGACUUUGGCUGUAAUAAAAAUAGCUGGUGAAUCACGAGUUCGGUCUAACUGCCUCUGAUCGAACGUGUUUUGCCAUCAUGCUAUAGAGGACAACUCCCUAGCAGGGGUUGCCUACCACACGGAUGAUCUAUCGACGGAUGAGAUAGGUCCCGGUCCUAGGGUAUCAUACUUCCUUAGGGAAAAUACUCUAGUGGCGUCUGGGAUACCGUCGGUACGCUUCAUACGUGCUUGGUGUAGAGAGUUUUCGCUCUCCCGACCUCAACUCAGGUGUGACUACCCGCUGCACUUAAGCAA
rnacentral:rRNA from 1 species